GAUGAACGCUAGCUACAGGCUUAACACAUGCAAGUCGAGGGGAAACGAUAGAGAAAGCUUGCUUUUUCUAGGCGUCGACCGGCGCACGGGUGAGUAACGCGUAUCCAACCUGCCCAUCACUUGGGGAUAACCUUGCGAAAGUAAGACUAAUACCCAAUGACGUCUCUAAAAGACAUCUGAAAGAGAUUAAAGACUUAUCGGUGAUUGAUGGGGAUGCGUCUGCUUAGCUUGUUGGCGGGGUAACGGCCCACCAAGGCGACGAUCAGUAGGGGUUCUGAGAGGAAGGUCCCCCACAUUGGAACUGAGACACGGUCCAAACUCCUACGGGAGGCAGCAGUGAGGAAUAUUGGUCAAUGGACGAGAGUCUGAACCAGCCAAGUAGCGUGCAGGAUGACGGCCCUAUGGGUUGUAAACUGCUUUUAUAAGGGAAUAAAGUGAGAGUCGUGACUCUUUUUGCAUGUACCUUAUGAAUAAGGACCGGCUAAUUCCGUGCCAGCCGCCGCCGUAA
rnacentral:rRNA from 1 species